ACGGAGGGUGCAAGCGUUAUUCGGAAUUACUGGGCGUAAAGCGCGUGUAGGCGGCCCUGAAAGUCAGAUGUGAAAGCCCCGGGCUUAACCCGGGAAGUGCAUUGGAAACUGCAGGUCUUGAGUAGUGGAGAGGAUGGGGGAAUUCCCGGUGUAGAGGUGAAAUUCGUAGAGAUCGGGAGGAAUAUCAGUGGCGAAGGCGCCCAUCUGGACGGUAACUGACGCUGAGCCGCGAAAGCGUGGUGAGCAAACAG
rnacentral:rRNA from 1 species